UGGGAUUACAGGUGUGCGCCACCACACCCAGCAACUGUAAAUAACACCUGUGCACACAGAAAAGAGAAAGUCGGACCAAGGCUGCAGAGGACCAGGUGUGAGAAACACCGCGGGGGCAGAUCUUGCCUAAGCAGCCACCUCUGUCAGGGUCCACCCUGGCCCCACAGCUGUGCGAGGUCUCGGGGGCUCCGCCACUGCCCCGCCUGUGAAGGCCGACAGCGUGCACUGCCCAGAGAGGCCAGCUCCAGCAGCCCGCUCUGUACCUCUUUGCGCACCUCGCCGGUCUCCCUCCUUAGCCCCUGAAGUGAUGCUGAGAACACCUCUCAAGCGCGCAUGCGCUGUGUCGGUCCACGGCUCUGCAUCGCCUCUGUACAGUGGAGCUGCAGCAACGCCCCAUCACAGAUCGCAGGGAGGCCUGCGGCUCUAACCAGCACACAGCAAGUGAUUAAUGAACUUGAGUGACUGCUCGAUCAUUGCGGCACUUAACUUGGGACACGCAGUAGCAAGUGAUCAACUGAAACCUCUCUGCUCAGAUUCUGAGCUCUGAUGUCUUCACAGGAGGAUCAAUCACUCAUCCCGGUCCGUAAGGAGCAGCUGUCCGCUCGGUUUUACAGACUCAGAAGACACAGAGAGGGAGCUGGGUCCGCGGCCGCGUCCCCACACCCUCUGCACAUCGGAGCUGUCUGCUCUCCGUCCCUGUCCGCGGCAUCCCUGGUUGGAGGGGCCAGGGGUCCCUCCGCCCACGCGUGGUAUGUGGCUCAAGUCACGUGACCAGCACACACCCCAGCAGGAAGCCGAACUUCCUGUCGCUGGCCUGAGUCCAUGCCCCGGGGUCGCUGCAGAUCGGGACGCCAAGAAGCACCUGCACUCGGGCAGCGUGGCAGGGACAGGAGGGGCAGCACCUGGGGUCCACCAGAGGCCUGACCGGGAGGGAGAGGGGUGCACACCAUGCCCCGGUCCGAGAGUGGAUGAGUGCAGGAGGGGCCGCCAGCCGGGGACACGAGCCCCCGGAGUCACGGCCGAUGCUGGGAGGAAACCUCAGCAAGACACUGUCAGAAUUUAAAACCAGGACAGGGCACACUGCGCAGGGCAGAGGCCUUGAAGGCACAAUAAAUUAACAAAUACA